rnacentral:sRNA from 1 species
GCUGGGUAUAGUGGCACAUGCCUGUAAUCCGAGCAACUUGGGAGGCUGAGACAAGAUCUCAAGUUCGAAGCCAGACUCAGCAAUUUAAUGAGACCCUGUCUCAA